UACAGGGGGUGCAAACGUUGCUCGGAAUUAUUGGGCGUAAAGCGCACGUAGGUGGUCAUUUAAGUCGGAUGUGAAAGCCCCAGGCUCAACUUGGGAAGUGCAUCCGAGACUGAAUGGCUGGAGUACAGAAGAGGAUCGCGGAAUUCCCGGUGUAGAGGUGAAAUUCGUAGAUAUCGGGAGGAACACCAGCGGCGAAGGCGGCGAUCUGGUCUGAUACUGACGCUGAGGUGCGAAAGCGUGGGGAGCAAACAGG
rnacentral:rRNA from 1 species